ACCUGCAUGUUUUUGGACUGUGGGAGGAAACCAGAGAACCCGGAGUAAACCCACACUGACACACGGAGAAGAUGCAAACUCCACACAGGAAGACCUCCCAGCCCAGCCCAGGCUCAAACCAGAGACCUUCAGUGCUACCCGCUGAGCCACUGUUUGCCUUGACUGUGCAAUGUGUAAUGCAACUCAACACCCAGCUGUGGCAUCACUGAACCGGAACUAACUAAGCAUAUCCAGUUGUACUUCCAAAUGUUGAAAAAUCCUGCUUUUGUCUGAGUCAACAGCUGUAUCUGAUGAAUCACAAUGUUCUCACAGCUGAGCUCAUGAUGAUGCAUCCUGGUUUCAAGUGGAAAUCAUUUGUACUUGGCCUUGGCUUUUCUGAUUAUUUAAACAUUUUCUGUGUCAGUUAUGCAAAUAGUCAAAUGCUUGUUUGUAAGGCUCAUUAUAAAGGUGGGAGCUUUAAGCCGU